UAAAGCGCACGCAGGCGGUCUGUCAAGUCGGAUGUGAAAUCCCCGGGCUCAACCUGGGAACUGCAUUCGAAACUGGCAGGCUUGAGUCUUGUAGAGGGGGGUAGAAUUCCAGGUGUAGCGGUGAAAUGCGUAGAGAUCUGGAGGAAUACCGGUGGCGAAGGCGGCCCCCUGGACAAAGACUGACGCUCAGGUGCGAAAGCGUGGGGAGCAAACAGGAUUAGAUACCCUGGUAGUCCACGCCGUAAACGAUGUCUACUUGGAGGUUGUGCCCUUGAGGCGUGGCUUCCGGAGCUAACGCGUUAAGUAGACCGCCUGGGGAGUACGGCCGCAAGGUUAAAACUCAAAUGAAUUGACGGGGGCCCGCACAAGCGGUGGAGCAUGUGGUUUAAUUCGAUGCAACGCGAAGAACCUUACCUGGUCUUGACAUCCACGGAAGUUUUCAGAGAUGAGAAUGUGCCUUCGGGAACCGUGAGACAGGUGCUGCAUGGCUGUCGUCAGCUCGUGUUGUGAAAUGUUGGGUUAAGUCCCGCAACGAGCGCAACCCUUAUCCUUUGUUGCCAGCGAUUAGG
rnacentral:rRNA from 3 species